rnacentral:rRNA from 1 species
AUUGAACGCUGGCGGCAGGCCUAACACAUGCAAGUCGAGCGGAUGAAGGGAGCUUGCUCCUGGAUUCAGCGGCGGACGGGUGAGUAAUGCCUAGGAAUCUGCCUGUUAGUGGGGGAUAACGUCCGGAAACGGGCGCUAAUACCGCAUACGUCCUGAGGGAGAAAGUGGGGGAUCUUCGGACCUCACGCUAUCAGAUGAGCCUAGGUCGGAUUAGCUAGUUGGUGGGGUAAAGGCCUACCAAGGCGACGAUCCGUAACUGGUCUGAGAGGAUGAUCAGUCACACAGGAACUGAGACACGGUCCAGACUCCUACGGGAGGCAGCAGUGGGGAAUAUUGGACAAUGGGCGAAAGCCUGAUCCAGCCAUGCCGCGUGUGUGAAGAAGGUCUUCGGAUUGUAAAGCACUUUAAGUUGGGAGGAAGGGCAGUAAGUUAAUACCUUGCUGUUUUGACGUUACCAACAGAAUAAGCACCGGCUAACUUCGUG